rnacentral:rRNA from 1 species
GACUCGUCACACUAUCAUUAACUGAAUCCAUAGGUUAAUGAGGCGAACCGGGGGAACUGAAACAUCUAAGUACCCCGAGGAAAAGAAAUCAACCGAGAUUCCCCCAGUAGCGGCGAGCGAACGGGGAGGAGCCCAGAGCCUGAAUCAGCAUGUGUGUUAGUGGAAGCGUCUGGAAAGGCGCGCGAUACAGGGUGACAGCCCCGUACACAAAAGCGCAUGUGCUGUGAGCUCGAUGAGUAGGGCGGGACACGUGGUAUCCUGUCUGAAUAUGGGGGGACCAUCCUCCAAGGCUAAAUACUCCUGACUGACCGAUAGUGAACCAGUACCGUGAGGGAAAGGCGAAAAGAACCCCGGCGAGGGGAGUGAAAAAGAACCUGAAACCGUGUACGUACAAGCAGUGGGAGCACCCUUCGGGGUGUGACUGCGUACCUUUUGUAUAAUGGGUCAGCGACUUAUAUUCUGUAGCAAGGUUAACCGAAUAGGGGAGCCGGAGGGAAACCGAGUCUUAAUUGGGCGUUAAGUUGCAGGGUAUAGACCCGAAACCCGGUGAUCUAGCCAUGGGCAGGUUGAAGGUUGGGUAACACUAACUGGAGGACCGAACCGACUAAUGUUGAAAAAUUAGCGGAUGACCUGUGGCUGGGGGUGAAAGGCCAAUCAAACCGGGAGAUAGCUGGUUCUCCCCGAAAGCUAUUUAGGUAGCGCCUCGUGAAUUCAUCUCCGGGGGUAGAGCACUGUUUCGGCUAGGGGGCCAUCCCGGCUUACCAACCCGAUGCAAACUGCGAAUACCGGAGAAUGUUAUCACGGGAGACACACGGCGGGUGCUAACGUCCGUCGUGAAGAGGGAAACAACCCAGACCGCCAGCUAAGGUCCCAAAGUCAUGGUUAAGUGGGAAACGAUGUGGGAAGGCCCAGACAGCCAGGAUGUUGGCUUAGAAGCAGCCAUCAUUUAAAGAAAGCGUAAUAGCUCACUGGUCGAGUCGGCCUGCGCGGAAGAUGUAACGGGGCUAAACCAUGCACCGAAGCUGCGGCAGCGACGCUUAUGCGUUGUUGGGUAGGGGAGCGUUCUGUAAGCCUGUGAAGGUGGCCUGUGAGGGUUGCUGGAGGUAUCAGAAGUGCGAAUGCUGACAUAAGUAACGAUAAAGCGGGUGAAAAGCCCGCUCGCCGGAAGACCAAGGGUUCCUGUCCAACGUUAAUCGGGGCAGGGUGAGUCGACCCCUAAGGCGAGGCCGAAAGGCGUAGUCGAUGGGAAACAGGUUAAUAUUCCUGUACUUGGUGUUACUGCGAAGGGGGGACGGAGAAGGCUAUGUUGGCCGGGCGACGGUUGUCCCGGUUUAAGCGUGUAGGUGUGUGUUCCAGGUAAAUCCGGUU